rnacentral:rRNA from 1 species
AAUGAACGCUGGCGGCAGGCCUAACACAUGCAAGUCGAACGCCCCGCAAGGGGAGUGGCGCACGGGUGAGUAACGCGUGGGAAUAUGCCCUUCGGUUCGGAAUAACACAGGGAAACUUGUGCUAAUACCGGAUAAGAUCUACGGAUGAAAGAUUCAUCGCCGAAGGAGUAGCCCGCGUAGGAUUAGCUUGUUGGUGAGGUAACGGCUCACCAAGGCGACGAUCCUUAGCUGGUCUGAGAGGAUGAUCAGCCACACUGGGACUGAGACACGGCCCAGACUCCUACGGGAGGCAGCAGUGGGGAAUAUUGGACAAUGGGCGAAAGCCUGAUCCAGCCAUGCCGCGUGAGUGAUGAAGGCCUUAGGGUUGUAAAGCUCUUUCGCCAGGGAGGAUAAUGACGGUACCUGGAAAAGAAGCCUCGGCUAACUCCGUGCCAGCAGCCGCAGUAAUAC